AAAAAAAGAAGGGGCAAAAAGAAAGGAGAUGAUGGGAAAGAAAAAGGAGAGAUGAUAGGACGAAAGGAAGGAUUGUUGUUGUUGUUGUUGUUGUUUGACUCUGUGUUUUUGUUUCUGUGUUUUUCUUCUUC
rnacentral:ribozyme from 14 species